GAUGAACGCUGGCGGCGUGCCUAAUACAUGCAAGUCGAGCGAACAGACGAGGAGCUUGCUCCUCUGACGUUAGCGGCGGACGGGUGAGUAACACGUGGAUAACCUACCUAUAAGACUGGGAUAACUUCGGGAAACCGGAGCUAAUACCGGAUAAUAUAUUGAACCGCAUGGUUCAAUAGUGAAAGACGGUUUUGCUGUCACUUAUAGAUGGAUCCGCGCCGCAUUAGCUAGUUGGUAAGGUAACGGCUUACCAAGGCAACGAUGCGUAGCCGACCUGAGAGGGUGAUCGGCAACACUGGAACUGGAACACGGUCCAGACUCCUACGGGAGGCAGCAGUGGGGAAUAUUCGGCAAUGGGCGAAAGCUUGACGGAGCAACGCCGCGUGGGUGAAGAAGGUCUUCGGAUCGUAAAACUCUUUUAUUAGGGAAGAACAAAUGUGUAAGUAACUAUGCACGUCUUGACGGUACCUAAUCAGAAAGCCACGGCUAACUACGUG
rnacentral:rRNA from 1 species